CCUACGGGAGGCAGCAGUGAGGAAUAUUGGUCAAUGGUCGGGAGACUGAACCAGCCAAGCCGCGUGAGGGAUGAAGGUACAGAGUAUCGUAAACCUCUUUUGUCAGGGAACAAAGGCGGGGACGUGUCCCCGGCUGAGUGUACCUGAAGAAAAAGCAUCGGCUAACUCCGUGCCAGCAGCCGCGGUAAUCCGGAGGAUGCGAGCGUUAUCCGGAUUUAUUGGGUUUAAGGGGUGCGCAGGCGGUCUGUUAAGUCAGCGGUCAAAGCCCGGGGCUCAACCCCGGCCCGCCGUUGAAACUGGCAGUCUCGAGUUGGAGAGAAGUAUGCGGAAUGCGCGGUGUAGCGGUGAAAUGCAUAGAUAUCGCGCAGAACUCCGAUUGCGAAGGCAGCAUGCCGGCUCCACACUGACGCUGAGGCACGAAAGCGUGGGUAUCGAACAGGAUUAGAUACCCCUGUAGUC
rnacentral:rRNA from 1 species